UGCAUCCUUCUCUGAGCCGUUCCGCCCUUAUCAGAGUUCUUACCCAGCCUGGCACUAAUCCUACAUGCAGGCCGCUGGCAUCUCUGGUCUUCUGAGUUCUUUCAGUGUUUUCCAGACAGACAGCAAAGUGCUGCUGUUGAAUCUAAACUAUAGAGUGAGCACACAGUGGGGAGGAUAUGACCAGUCUAUGGCACAUCCUGGAAUUACUUUUUUUUUUUUUUUUUUUUCAAUAAUUUGCUAGGAAAUUGUCAUUUAAUUCCUGUGCUUUAGCAUGAGCUUAGAAGGAAAUAGAGUUUGGUUUGAACUAAAUUGCUGCUGCUUUCCAAGGUCCUUGCAUACAGCCCCUGAGCUACAAUGCAAGUAAUAAACAUCAGCAGCUAAUGACAAACGAAACUAAAGGUUGGAGGUCAGAUACCCCAUCCUCCAGAGUGCCGGCAAAUUGCCUUUGCUCCCUUUGCAGCUGCCUAUUGCUCCCUGAGACCCAAGCAGUGCUCGGUGUGCAGCACAACCACUGUUAGGGCAGCACAGCACUGGUGCAGAGAAUGAUACUACCACCGCCAGGCCAGGUGUGGAUGCUAGGGGAUGGAUGCUCAGGGGAUGGAUGCUGGGGGAUGGAUGCUCUGGGCACAGAUGCUAGGGGUUGGAUGCUAGGGCAAUGGAUGCUGGGGGAUGGAUGCUCAGGGGAUGGAUGCUCGGAGGCGCAUUGGCACGCACACAGCAUUCAUUAAAAGCGGAUUAGGUGGAAACCUCAAACAGACCGAUGCUGCCGAAAAGGAAUGAAUGCAGAGCACAGGAAUUGUUGGAGGAGUGGGUGACAGGAGCUGGUUUGGGAAGCUAGGGCUCGGGUGGUGUGAGCAGAGCCGGGCUCUUUGCCUCGGCAGUCCCUCUUAAUGAACUCGAACAGAGCCAUCAGUAAAAAAUAUCAGAGGGUAUUCAGUGAUAGGAAGAUUAACCAGGCACGAAAAGUUAAAAGAACGCUGCUCGGAAUUAUCAAAGUCCUAGUUAUAGAUAUCAGGUGCGUCAUAAUACUUUGCUGAAGUUCUCUUUAUAUCCAUUUGCACACAAAAUAAGUUCUCUGAGACUAACAUCUACCUAAACUAUCACUGCGUCUCAGGUCUGCCCGAGGCUCGGUAAGGCUGUUGGCGUUCCUAAGAAGUACACAGAGGAUAACCGAGGUGAUCACUUGGUGAUGCUCGCAGCUAGCCACGGAACUCGAACGGAGAAGGUCAGAAACAAAACGUCAGGAGAGCCCUAUGGCAUCACACCACAGCCGACACGAACACAGCAAACUCUGCCCAUCGCCAAAGAACGGAAAGAAGUACGACUAAAACGCAAGCCGAUGUGUUGCAGCAUCGUAGGGCCACUAGAUAGCCAUCCGUCAACUCGUGGCGAUUGACGAGGUGAAGAGAAGGCACGAAAGCUGCAAAACCGCUCCCCGCGUCCCUCGGCCAAGCUGUGGGGGCGGGCGGGGCCGCGGGGUUCGGAGCCGGCCCGCCCCGUCGGGCCCUGCCCCGUAG
ensembl:lncRNA